UAGCGGCGGACGGGUGAGUAACACGUGGAUAACCUACCUAUAAGACUGGGAUAACUUCGGGAAACCGGAGCUAAUACCGGAUAAUAUUUUGAACCGCAUGGUUCAAAAGUGAAAGACGGUCUUGCUGUCACUUAUAGAUGGAUCCGCGCUGCAUUAGCUAGUUGGUAAGGUAACGGCUUACCAAGGCAACGAUGCAUAGCCGACCUGAGAGGGUGAUCGGCCACACUGGAACUGAGACACGGUCCAGACUCCUACGGGAGGCAGCAGUAGGGAAUCUUCCGCAAUGGGCGAAAGCCUGACGGAGCAACGCCGCGUGAGUGAUGAAGGUCUUCGGAUCGUAAAACUCUGUUAUUAGGGAAGAACAUAUGUGUAAGUAACUGUGCACAUCUUGACGGUACCUAAUCAGAAAGCCACGGCUAACUACGUGCCAGCAGCCGCGGUAAUACGUAGGUGGCAAGCGUUAUCCGGAAUUAUUGGGCGUAAAGCGCGCGUAGGCGGUUUUUUAAGUCUGAUGUGAAAGCCCACGGCUCAACCGUGGAGGGUCAUUGGAAACUGGAAAACUUGAGUGCAGAAGAGGAAAGUGGAAUUCCAUGUGUAGCGGUGAAAUGCGCAGAGAUAUGGAGGAACACCAGUGGCGAAGGCGACUUUCUGGUCUGUAACUGACGCUGAUGUGCGAAAGCGUGGGGAUCAAACAGGAUUAGAUACCCUGGUAGUCCACGCCGUAAACGAUGAGUGCUAAGUGUUAGGGGGUUUCCGCCCCUUAGUGCUGCAGCUAACGCAUUAAGCACUCCGCCUGGGGAGUACGACCGCAAGGUUGAAACUCAAAGGAAUUGACGGGGACCCGCACAAGCGGUGGAGCAUGUGGUUUAAUUCGAAGCAACGCGAAGAACCUUACCAAAUCUUGACAUCCUUUGACAACUCUAGAGAUAGAGCCUUCCCCUUCGGGGGACAAAGUGACAGGUGGUGCAUGGUUGUCGUCAGCUCGUGUCGUGAGAUGUUGGGUUAAGUCCCGCAACGAGCGCAACCCUUAAGCUUAGUUGCCAUCAUUAAGUUGGGCACUCUAAGUUGACUGCCGGUGACAAACCGGAGGAAGGUGGGGAUGACGUCAAAUCAUCAUGCCCCUUAUGAUUUGGGCUACACACGUGCUACAAUGGACAAUACAAAGGGCAGCGAAACCGCGAGGUCAAGCAAAUCCCAUAAAGUUGUUCUCAGUUCGGAUUGUAGUCUGCAACUCGACUACAUGAAGCUGGAAUCGCUAGUAAUCGUAGAUCAGCAUGCUACGGUGAAUACGUUCCCGGGUCUUGUACACACCGCCCGUCACACCACGAGAGUUUGUAACACCCGAAGCCGGUGGAGUAACC
rnacentral:rRNA from 1 species